rnacentral:rRNA from 1 species
GACGGAGGGGGCAAGCGUUGUUCGGAAUUAUUGGGCGUAAAGGGCGCGUAGGCGGACCGGCGGGUCCGGCGUGAAAUCUCCACCGCUCAACGGGGAGAGGCCGCUGGAAACUACCGGUCUGGAGUUUGGCAGAGGGUCAUGGAAUUCCAGGUGUAGCGGUGGAAUGCGUAGAUAUCUGGAAGAACACCUGUGGCGAAGGCGGUGGCCUGGGCCAAAACUGACGCUGAGGCGCGAAAGCCAGGGGAGCAAA